rnacentral:rRNA from 1 species
ACCUGCGGAAGGAUCAUUAUCGAAUUAUAACCCAGGCGAGGAGAAAUCGGCCGGUUGUCGCUGGCCUUUUGCUAGGCAUGUGCACGCUUUCCGAGGAAACCUCGCCUUAUGGGCGCGGGCCCACGCCCGCGUCUUCAUAUACCUCUUCGUGUAGAAAGUCUUUGAAUGUUUAUACUAUCAUCGAGUCGCGACUUCUAGGAGACGCGAUUCUUUGAGACAAAAGUUUAUUACAACUUUCAGCAAUGGAUCUCUUGGCUCUCGCAUCGAUGAAGAACGCAGCGAAUCGCGAUAUGUAAUGUGAAUUGCAGAUCUACAGUGAAUCAUCGAAUCUUUGAACGCACCUUGCGCUCCUCGGUGUUCCGAGGAGCAUGCCUGUUUGAGCGUCAGUAAAUUCUCAACCCCUCUCGAUUUGCUUCGAUAGGGUGCUUGGAUAGUGGGGGCUGCCGGAGACCUGGACUUUUCGUCUAGGACUCGGGCUCUCCUCAAAUGAAUAGGCUUGCGGUCGGCUUUCGACUAUGCAUGACAAGGCUUUCGGCGUGAUAAUGAUCGUCGUCGGCUGAAGUGCAUGAAUGAAGGUCUCGUGCCUCUAAUACGUCGAUGCCUUCGGGCCGUCUUCUUUAUUGACUUUGACCU